rnacentral:lncRNA from 1 species
UAGACUUUGUAUAAACGAAGUGCUGGACUUUACCUGAAAGCUGCAAAAAUUAAUGGUUUAGAUAUAUUUAUAAUAAACUGAUUUAAACUUUUUCUAUAAGAAGAAAAAUUAAGACCACUUAUUUGAAAACAAAGAUGAAGUCUCACUUUCCAAUCUGCUUUCUCAUUAGUUCCUUCCAAAGCAAGGUCUUUAAAGCUGUGAUUGCCAUUUUUCUCAUAAUGAAUCCUCUCAGGACAUUGUGUAGCCUGUGACCCUGCCUAAGCCCUACAUUGAAUACAGUUCAGAUGUAAAAGGCAGGUGUUCCAGUUUGAAGGCCAGGUCCUUCCAUCUUGUGGCCCCACCAUCUGGAAAGCCUUGCUGUCACCUGCAUCAAGCCUGAAGAAGGCCAGAGAACAUGGAGGAGUGCCUGGUCUCCUGUCGCUGCGAGUUCCUGGAGCAGAAGGACAAAAGGGCAGUUACUGCCAAGCCACCAAGCCCAUCUCUUUGCUCUUCAGAAGCAAUCUGAGUGGUGAAUUCUGACUCAUUUUGCAUGGAGAGUUCCCAGAAGCAUCAGUAGAGGUCUGUCAGCAUGGACUGAGCUCUUGCCACUCAAAGUUUCCUAUUGAACAAUUACAGAACCAAAGCAAGGCAUUGCAGAUAAACCUGCCUCACAAUACUGAGGGAUCCCAGACUCUGGAAUGGCUCAAGCAGGCCCUGUUUAUCUGAUAGGAAUGUUAUGUGGAGGAUAGGGACAUUGCAUUAGAAGGUACUAGAGUUCCUUCCAAUUCUCAAUAAAGUCUACGGUGCUAGGAAGUUUGUUUGGAGU